GACGAAGAACGUAGUGAAAUGCGAUAAGUAAUGUGAAUUGCAGAAUUCAGUGAAUCAUCGAAUCUUUGAACGCACAUUGCGCUCCCUGGUAUUCCGGGGAGCAUGCCUGUUCGAGCGUCAUUACAACCCUCAAGCUCUGCUUGGUGUUGGGCCCCGCCGCCCCGGCGGGCCCUAAAGUCAGUGGCGGUGCCGUCCGGCUCCGAGCGUAGUAAUUUUUCUCGCUUUGGAGGCCCGGGCGCGUGCUUGCCAUCAACCCCCAAUUUUUUUCAGGUUGACCUCGGAUCAGGUAGGGAUACCCGCUGAACUUAAGCAUAUCAAUAAGCGGAGGA
rnacentral:misc_RNA from 1 species